UAAUAGUCAUAAUUGAAUAAUAAUAUAAAUUUCUUUUUCGUUUCAUUUUAAGUAUUUUUUUUUAAAUUUAUCAUAUUUUUAAUAGGUUAAAAUAUAAUAUAUUUUUAUUAGAAUACCCUCUAAUCUAUUUUAAUUACUGUUUAAUUUCUUUUUAGAUGAAGUUCUAUAAAUAAGGAUAAAAUGUAGAGGAAAAUACGUGAAAGAUGAAAUUGAUCAGGAGAGGAAAAUGAAUUAUUUUGUACAAGAGAGAAUCUGAGUUAUUCUUGAGAUGAAUCGAAGUUUCGUUUAAUUUUUGAAUAAUAUAAAGUUUUUUAAACUGCAUCGAAAUACACGAAUAUCUUCUUUAUGGUGAUCUCUUCUAUUCUGAAAAUCAGCCUGAUGUAUCGAAGAAAAUUUUUUAUAAUUGAAUGAAGAAAAUAAGAAUUGAACAAUUAAAGAAGUAAAAAAUAAAUUGUGAUCAAAUUUUUGAUAUUUUGUUUGAAUAAUGAAGCCAGUUAUUUAAUCCAAAAUAAAAGAGUAAUUACCGGAUAUUUCUUUUCUAUAUUAAGAUCAUGAUGAUUUCUAAUAAACGGAAAAAUCCAAUAAACGGAAUGAAGACCGUAUCAAUAUUCAUUUAAGUGAAUAAUUAUGAACAAAGAGUUAAUCGAAUCUUCAACCUAAACAAUCUUGAACGGGAUUGUAUUAUCAUUCACAAUUAUAUAUUUAUUCACAAAUCAGUGCCAGUUUUGUCGGAAUAUUACAGCAUUAUUUGGAACGAUCCUGGUGGAACAUUGUCCGGAAGAAAGGGUUCGCUGCCAAGCAUGCUUGGAGCGAUCUCGAAGCUGCGGCAACGCGACAUAAAGACCGUUUCAUUUGUAAUACUGCGGAAAGUUUCGUCCUGUCUAGCACAGAAAAGACUAGAGAAAAGCCUAAGGUAGAAACUUUCGAGGGUGGAACCUUUUUUCUCUGUCUUUUUUCUUUUUCAUUUUCUUCUUGUUCUUUUUUUCUCUCUCUUUGUACUUACUCCUAUACUCGUGCACAUGCAUAUAUAUGUAUAUUCCACGAUUGAGCGAAGAAAAAACUGACCCGCUCGUACUUUCGGCGCGUAAUGCUGGCCAGGAGGUUGCAAAAAACUGCAGGCGCGUGCAGCGGAAGUUAGGGUGCAAAAGGGAGUAAAGAAGGAGAGAGAAAGGAGAACGUAGAGGCGAGGCGAAAAAAGCGAUUAGGCCGUCUCGAAUCUCCGAGAAAAAAUUCAGGAGUGAAAUAGUUUUGCGAUUCCUGGGAAUUCUCAUUCCCUUUUGGAGUUGCUGCUUCUUUUAUUCGUUUCCUUGUAUUUUUUAUUGAUUUCUCCGAGAAAUGUCGUUGAUUGAUGAAAAUCAUUAUUCUGUUAAAUUAUAUUACAUAGAAAAAUUGAAAGCUAUGAGAAUUGAUAUUAUAAAAUAUAUAAUGAUUCGAUGAUUAAAAACUAAAUUAAAAAAUCAAUUAUAUUUAUUUAAUUAUGUAUAGAACAAUAGAUAUAUGCAAAUAAUGUAAUAAAUUCAAAGUGAUUUCUUGCUUCUUUCGAAUAUCAUCCAUUAUGUAAAUUAAAAACUAUUCAUCACUAUCUUUAUCUUGCAUCCAUAUAAAAAUCAGUCCUUUUCGAAGUACUAGAAAGCUUCAAAAGAGCCUCCCGGGAAGUUUAUUGAUUCCUAGCCGAAUAGGGCUGAUUAUUUGGUCCCAGAAGGCAGGUAGAAAUCGGCGUAGACGAAGAUCCGGUUAGAAAAUCAGCGAAAGGACGAAGAACGAAGCGAUGAUAUCGAGAUAGGCGCGGUAUAGAGAGAGGUAGCACGGAAGAGUUUGGGGUAAAAAUUUCUAGGACGAGGCGAACGGGUGCAAUGCACCGGUGUACGCGAUAUACGCUCGACGAUCAAUAGCCACCCCACCUUACUGGGCCGGCGGCGCAUGAAUGAACCUCGCCUUUUACACACUACUCGGUAGUAGUAGCUCUCUCUACUCGCGCGCGCCGCCAACGAGCUGCAACGCCGCCGCCUUCGGCCGUGUGCAGCGGUUUUCAAUGCUUCUCUGAUCGGUCCAACUGAAUCGAGAUGAAAUUUAAUCAAUUAGGUGAUUAACAUGAAUCUUGUUGUUUGGUAAAUUGAAAACGAUUAAUCUUUUAUUAAUGAUCUUUCUUUUGUAGUUACAGAUUUUAAAAUUGUGUAUUACGUUUUGGAAUAAUGAAUGAAGAUAAAAAUAGAAGGUAUACGUGGAUGGAAUAGAAUAAAGAAUUUCAUAUUUAAUUUGGAUGAAGUUUCAAAAAUUAAAAUUCAUUAAGAAAUAAAAAUAGUAUUAUCAUUGGUAUUAUCAUUUUAAUUUUCAAAAUUUACGUAAAUUAUGAUUAUUAUUUCGUAUUCAAUAUAGAAUAGUUUCAAGCGAAUAAAGAAUGGAAAGAAUGAAAAUCCGUCCCGAUACAGAAUUGGAUGGAGUCGGCAUUCAUAGAAAAUUCUUAUACAUACUAUGAACAAAAUGUGACCCAAUUUUUCAGAUUCCCAAUAAUCGGUGCCAUAUAGCCGACCUAUCUUCUUUUUUAUUCGAUUCAUCAUUUGGUUUUUUUUCAACACUUGAUUUUUAUUCUUCCAUUUAUUUCGUCAAUAUUUCGUUCUACGAUAUAUUAAUUUUCAAAUAAUAAAAUUUUUUUAAU